CUUCCGUCUUACAAGAUGGGUACCAUGAUAAUUUUCACCUAACACAUUAUUUUACACAUUAAGUCAUUUAAUAGCCAAGUUAUCUGCCCAAAGCAAGAAAAAAGGUUUCUUGUUGGAUAAAACUUGCCUUUCAUAACCUAACCAUAAACAAUUUUGUUGGACCUUAAAUUUACAUUUAAUCAAAUGGGAUAGCAUUAUGGAGUCAAAAUGGAGGAAGGAAAAUCCUUCUUUAGGGCACUAUGGUGUCAGGGAAAAAAAUUAUUUGCCUAGAUUGGGUGAUUCUCUUUAGUGUGAGACUAGUUAACCAGUAUACAGUUGUUCAAAGUAUUUUUUUUUUCCUUUAAC